ensembl:lncRNA
UUUUUAGUUUUUGUGUGGUUUUCUGCAAGUUUGGUUUUUGUAUACAAUGUGUAAGUUUCCCUUGGCUUCUCUGGCCCCCUCACUCAUGUGGAAUCCCAAGAUGGAGCCAGUGAAGAUGCUGUGGACCGCCAAAGUGAUGAUGUGGUUGUCACCACAACACCCGAUCCCCACAACCAGACCACAUCUGCCCAUACUGAAGCUGGUGAUGGAGCAAGUGAAGAUGCUGUGGCUACCACCCCAACACCAAAUCCCCCAACUACAUCUGACCACACUGCAGCUACCGAUGAUGCAAGUGAGGUUGCUGUGGCUGCCCAAACUGGAACUACUGUAUCCCAUACGACUGAAGUCUGAUUCGACUGCUCCUCUGGUCACAAUGACCCGAGUCACUGUCUGGACUUUUUGCCUCUACAUGUUGACUGCAAUAAACGACAGAUUUGUUUUUUAAUCAAAUGUUGUCUUGCCUUUUUCAAAUUGAGGCCUUGUCCUGUUUUGGUGGUGGAGAUGACUAUGACGCC